rnacentral:rRNA from 1 species
CCCUUAGAUGUUCGGGGCCGCACGCGCGCUACACUGAAGGAAUCAGCACGUCUUUCUCCUUGUCCGAAAGGACUGGGUAACCCGCUGAACCUCCUUCGUGCUAGGGAUUGGGGCUUGUAAUUCUUCCCCAUGAACGAGGAAUUCCCAGUAAGCGCGAGUCAUAAGCUCGCGUUGAUUACGUCCCUGCCCUUUGCACACACCGCCCGUCGCUACUACCGAUUGGAUGGUUUAGUGAGAUCCUCGGAUUGGUCCCGGAGCGGCCUCUGGUCGUGCCGGAGUGCCGAAAAGAAUGUCGAACUUGAUCAUCUAGAGGAAGUAAAAGUCGUAACA